rnacentral:rRNA from 1 species
GAUGGGUAGGGGAGCGUCCUGCAUCCAGGGAAGCCACGGUGGAAACCAGUGGUGGAGGGUGUGGGAGUGAGAAUGCAGGCAUGAGUAGCGAAUGCAGAGUGAGAAACUCUGCCGCCGGAUGACCAAGGGUUCCUGGGCCAGGCUAAUCCGCCCAGGGUAAGUCGGGACCUAAGGCGAGGCCGACAGGCGUAGUCGAUGGACAACGGGUUGAUAUUCCCGUACCCGAGCAUGUGCGCCCAUGACGAGGCGUUUGAUACUAACCACCCAAAGCCAUCAGCCAAUGUCUUCGGACGGAGGUUGGUGUGUGGAGCGUGGGACCUGAUUUCGUAGUAGUCAAGCGAUGGGGUGACGCAGGAAGGUAGCUCCGCCAGGCGAUGGUUGUCCUGGUAUAAGCGUGUAGGCCGGAACAUAGGCAAAUCCGUGUUCCAUGAGGCUGAGACGUGAUGUGUAGCCGUUUGAGGCGAAGUAGAGUGAUCCUAUGCUGCCGAGAAAAGCCUCUAGUGAGUGCAUGCACGGCCCGUACCCCAAACCAACACAGGUGGUCAGGUAGAGAAUACCAAGGCGAUCGGGUGAACUGUGGUUAAGGAACUCGGCAAAAUGCCCCCGUAACUUCGGGAGAAGGGGGGCCAAACACCUUGAAGCCUCAUUGCGGGCUAGGGGUGGGUGGCCGCAGAGACCAGCGGAAAGCGACUGUUUACUAAAAACACAGGUCCAUGCGAAGUCGCAAGACGAUGUAUAUGGACUGACGCCUGCCCGGUGCUGGAACGUUAAGAGGACCGGUUAACUCCUUCGGGGGUGAAGCUGAGAAUUUAAGCGCCAGUAAACGGCGGUGGUAACUAUAACCAUCCUAAGGUAGCGAAAUUCCUUGUCGGGUAAGUUCCGACCUGCACGAAUGGCGUAACGACUUUCCGGCUGUCUCAACCACAGGCCCGGCGAAAUUGCACUACGAGUAAAGAUGCUCGUUACGCGCGGCAGGACGGAAAGACCCCGGGACCUUUACUAUAGUUUGGUAUUGGUUUUCGGUUCGGCUUGUGUAGGAUAGGUGGGAGACUGUGAAGCUGCAACGCUAGUUGUGGUGGAGUCGUUGUUGAAAUACCACUCUGGUCGAAUUGGGAAUCUGAACCUCGGGCCAUGAUCUGGUUCAGGGACAGUGCCUGAUGGGUAGUUUAACUGGGGCGGUUGCCUCCUAAAGAGUAACGGAGGCGCCCAAAGGUUCCCUCAGCCUGGUUGGCAAUCAGGUGUUGAGUGCAAGUGCACAAGGGAGCUUGACUGUGAGACAGACAUGUCGAGCAGGGACGAAAGUCGGGACUAGUGAUCCGGCACCUCCUGGUGGAAGGGGUGUCGCUCAACGGAUAAAAGGUACCCCGGGGAUAACAGGCUGAUCUUGCCCAAGAGUCCAUAUCGACGGCAUGGUUUGGCACCUCGAUGUCGGCUCGUCGCAUCCUGGGGCCGGAGUAGGUCCCAAGGGUUGGGCUGUUCGCCCAUUAAAGCGGCACGCGAGCUGGGUUUAGAACGUCGUGAGACAGUUCGGUCCCUAUCCGCCGCGCGCGUAGGAUACUUGAGGAAGGCUGUCCCUAGUACGAGAGGACCGGGACGGACGAACCUCUGGUGUGCCAGUUGUUCCGCCAGGGGCAUGGCUGGUUGGCCACGUUCGGAAGGGAUAACCGCUGAAGGCAUCUAAGCGGGAAGCCUGUUCCAAGAUGAGGUAUCCCACCCUUUGUGGGUUAAGGCCCCCAACAGACCAUUGGGUUGAUAGGCCAGAAAUGGAAGCACAGUAAUGUGUUGUCGAGUUGACUGGUACUAAUAGGCCGAGGACUUGUCUA